rnacentral:lncRNA from 10 species
UGCAACUGCCCCAUGUGUGUCUGCCUACCAGACACCCGAUCUUGCAAGAUUGUUAUUAAAAGUCUCACUUCCGCUGUUCUUUGCAUCUCUGAGUCCAUUCUUUGGAUUUGGAUGGGUGAAUGUGUUUCUCACAAACUUGGCGUCUUGUCUGGGAUCUCUGUGCCUGCAAUGGAAUGGUUCUCCAGCUGAGAGAGGAGACAUGUCCCACCCAAUUUUAGGUGGCCUGCUCUGUCCCAGCAUCCUGGCUACUCGCAGAGGACACAAACAUACCCGAGACUGUUAUUCAGGAGGUGGCGGAGGCAACACAGAGAGAAAAAGCAGGCACCGUGGCAACCAAGCAACCUCAUGCAUGAGCCAAGGUUAAAAGGACUUCUGACUCAAACUCUGCCUCUUGGGUUUGCAGUUCAUCACUUCCAUCCUGGUGACUUGGUACUGAUUAAGGCUUGGAAAGAAGACAAGCUCCACCCAAGCUGGGAAGGUCUCUAUCAAAUGCUCCUGACCACCAAGACGGCCGUGCAAACAGCUGAAUAGGGGUGGACUCACUAUACUUAAGUCAAGGGACUUGUAAAAAAGACCCCGGAAGGGAGAGAAAAAGACCAGUGGAAAGUGCAUGGGUCACCUGAGGAAUCCUUAAAGUUAACUUUGAGAAAAACCUAAAAGGAAAACUUGGGCUGGCCUCAUCUCUGGAAGUUAAUAUGACACCUGAUCUUGCAAGACUGCCAUUAAAACUCUUGUUCCUGAACUGAGAUCGUGCCGCAGCACCCCAGCCUGGGUGACAGAGCAAGACUCCAUCUUGGAAAAGAAAAACACAAAUAAAAAUAAAAAUAAAAUAAAAUAAGUCUUCCUUCUGCUGUUC